rnacentral:rRNA from 1 species
GAUGAACGCUGGCGGCGUGCCUAAUACAUGCAAGUCGAGCGAACGGACGAGAAGCUUGCUUCUCUGAUGUUAGCGGCGGACGGGUGAGUAACACGUGGAUAACCUACCUAUAAGACUGGGAUAACUUCGGGAACCCGGAGCUAAUACCGGAUAAUAUUUUGAACCGCAUGGUUCAAAAGUGAAAGACGGUCUUGCUGUCACUUAUAGAUGGAUCCGGGCUGCAUUAGCUAGUUGGUAAGGUAACGGCUUACCAAGGCAACGAUGCAUAGCCGACCUGAGAGGGUGAUCGGCCACACUGGAACUGAGACACGGUCCAGACUCCUACGGGAGGCAGCAGUAGGGAAUCUUCCGCAAUGGGCGAAAGCCUGACGGAGCAACGCCGCGUGAGUGAUGAAGGUCUUCGGAUCGUAAAACUCUGUUAUUAGGGAAGAACAUAUGUGUAAGUAACUGUGCACAUCUUGACGGUACCUAAUCAGAAAGCCACGGCUAACUACGUG